rnacentral:SRP_RNA from 1 species
CCAUACCGGCCGGGGAGAUAGCGGUGCCUUGUAACCUGCAAUCCGCUGCAGCAGGGGUGGUUUCCCUCUCCGAGGGCUGUAUAUGUGUGGUCAGAACCGUAAACCGCCGCGUUGACGAACGGGUCCUGCGCGAUCAGCGACUGUGAACCAUGUCAGGCGGGGAACCGAGCAGCAUUAAGCAGCAUCGUCUGAUGUGCCGCAGGGUCGCCUGUUCCGAGCGUAGGGUGCGGACUUCGCGCAUAUAUGCAUGUUCGAAGCGAGGGUGUAUGG